UAGGGAAUCUUCGGCAAUGGACGGAAGUCUGACCGAGCAACGCCGCGUGAGUGAAGAAGGUUUUCGGAUCGUAAAGCUCUGUUGUUAGAGAAGAACGUUGGUAGGAGUGGAAAAUCUACCAAGUGACGAUAACUAACCAGAAAGGGACGGCUAACUACGUGCCAGCAGCCGCGGUAAUACGUAGGUCCCGAGCGUUGUCCGGAUUUAUUGGGCGUAAAGCGAGCGCAGGCGGUUCUUUAAGUCUGAAGUUAAAGGCAGUGGCUUAACCAUUGUACGCUUUGGAAACUGGAGGACUUGAGUGCAGAAGGGGAGAGUGGAAUUCCAUGUGUAGCGGUGAAAUGCGUAGAUAUAUGGAGGAACACCGGUGGCGAAAGCGGCUCUCUGGUCUGUAACUGACGCUGAGGCUCGAAAGCGUGGGGAGCAAACAGGAUUAGAUACCCUGGUAGUCCACGCCGUAAACGAUGAGUGCUAGGUGUUAGGCCCUUUCCGGGGCUUAGUGCCGCAGCUAACGCAUUAAGCACUCCGCCUGGGGAGUACGACCGCAAGGUUG
rnacentral:rRNA from 1 species